GAUGAACGCUGGCGGCGUGCCUAAUACAUGCAAGUCGAGCGAAGCGGGGACGGGUGAGUAACACGUGGAUAACCUCCUAUAAACCUGGGAUAACUUAGGGCAACGGGAGCUAGACAGAAUACAUCUAGCUGGAUCCGCGCUGCAUUAGAUAGUUGGUAAGGUAAUGGCUUACCAAGGGAACGAUGAAUAGCCGACCUGGGGGGUUGACCGGCCACACUGGAACUGAUACACGGUCAAUACUCCUGCGGGAGGCAGCAGGAGGGAAUCGUCCGCAAUGGGCGAAAGCCUGACGGAGCAACGACGCGUGAGUGAUGAAGGUCUUCGGAUCGUAAAACUCUGUUAUUAGGGAAGCGGUACCUAAUCAGAAAGCCACGGCUAACUACGUGCCAGCCGCCGCGGUAAUUC
rnacentral:rRNA from 1 species